CUUUACUGUAGCUUUACAUUGGACUUUGAACAGAUCUGUGUAGGAUAGGUGGGAGGCUUUGAAGCCGGGACGCUAGUUCUGGUGGAGCCGACGUUGAAAUACCACCCUGGUGUGUUUGAGGUUCUAACCUAGACCCGUGAUCCGGGUUGGGGACAGUGUAUGGUGGGCAGUUUGACUGGGGCGGUCUCCUCCCAAAGCGUAACGGAGGAGUUCGAAGGUACGCUAGGCACGGUCGGAAAUCGUGCUGAUAGUGCAUAGGCAUAAGCGUGCUUGACUGCGAGACUGACAAGUCGAGCAGGUACGAAAGUAGGACUAAGUGAUCCGGUGGUUCUGUAUGGAAGGGCCAUCGCUCAACGGAUAAAAGGUA
rnacentral:rRNA from 1 species